GCUGUGUGCAUUACCUCACUCCGGAAAGUGUCAAUCAUGUAUAACUAAAUAUGAUUGACACCUCUGUGAGUGGAGUAACGCCAGCUAUAUGCAAC
ensembl:miRNA